ensembl:lncRNA LINC00943 long intergenic non-protein coding RNA 943
ACCUGAGCUUGGUUCUCUGUGCCUGAGUCGUUGGCUGUCUAUGCUACAGGAACUGCCUCAGCUGUGGAAAUGCCAUGAAUCCUUUUCCCCGUUGGCCAUGCAGCAGGUAAUUAGCUUUAUAGAGAUGUGGGGAGGAUAUGGCAGGCCUUCAGGUCUGCGGGUUGUAUCAGGGGCCCUGUCACACUGCCGGAGUGUUUGCAUUCAGGGCUUCCUCAAUCCUGACAGAGGCACAUUUCCAGGGAUGAUGUAUGUGUUCCAAGCACAGCUACAAAUGAGACAGUUAAGUCCGUGGAAGCGCUGUGGGCCGCAGUCUCCUGCCAGGGUUCCCAAGACCCUGGGAGUGGCUUCCUUCCAAUGGGCCAUUAGCUUUCCCCCGAAGCUCUUUGAGGCUUCUCUGGAGCCAGCUUCUCUUGGCACCGCCGGGCUGGAGGAAGCUUCUCCCAUAGCGCUUGUCUGGCAAGCCUCACAGAUUCACUCUGUCUUUCUCUGAACCUCUAUGCUUGAUUCUCUCUGUAGCUCAUAACCAGGCCAGUAAUGAGACACCCUGUUGAGCUGGGCCUCAUUAAGACUUUCUUCUUCUCUCUUCCCAGGACAUACUUUAUUCAGCUGGGUGCUGAAAAAGAAUCUUGGAAAUUAGGAAACUGAAUGAGGCCUCAUUUCACACUCAGAAUGUGGGUUGCAAUAGUCACUUCCUCUGCUGCUGGGAAAGAAAGAAUUAUACUACCUUUUGAAUUUUGGAUUAAGGAGAGAGGUGUUGGCUUGUCAAACUACCAUGUAUUCCUCAAGACAUAUUUUUGUGGCUUUAUAAAAUUCAAUAUAUAUGUCUAAAUUCAAAAAUAUUUUGUUGCAAUCUGGCCCUUGGACAAACUGAGGCCCUAGCAACUGAUGUUUAUGGCUUUCCGUAGAACCUUUCAGAUAAAAUUUACACAGCAUUUUACUGCAGCUAUUUCACACAAAGCAGAGGAUUUUGCCACAAAACUGAAAGAAAAAAGAAACUGCAUUCUUAAAUUUUUCAUAAAUCAAAAGGUAUAAAAAUAUCUACCUAAACGAUAAAGGAGAUGAGAAACCCCACCCAUGAUGGGAAGAAAGCCUAUUUCAGUUUUGCCUUUACUUCAAGUUCUUUUUUCCAUAUCUGGAAUGCAAUCAGAAUUUUAAUCUUGCCUUGGGUUCCUCCUGGAUUUGGGGAGAAGACAAAACCUGAAAAUCUCUAAUCUGCAUGUGUUCAGCUGCGUAUCUUCUGGAUACGGAAGGAUCACACUGCACAGAGUGCUGGACUUGCAGGAGCCCCGCUUCUCAACCUCCAUCGCUUUAUGAAUGAAUUCACCAGAAAGAAAAGGAAGAAUCAACACUUUCAGAGAUGGAGCCUGUUGAGCCACAGUACCAACUAGUCAAUGCUGAAUCGACUUCUCCCUUUCUACAUUGCCUGAGAGAAGUCAUUGGGGAAUACUCUAGAGUCAAGGGAUUGGAUUGUGGAUUGCAUUGGUGGUUUUCCUCAGUUUCCUCAUCUUCUCCACAAGUUUCUACAUAUCGAAUGCAGAGCAGCCCUUCUUCAAAGGACCUCCUACGGAAGCUGCUAAGGAACUCAGUCUGUAGCUCUGCGUGGAGCCAUGUGUAAACACUGAACUGAGACCUGCCACCUCCUACUACCUAAGGGCCCAUUUUCAUCUGAUAUCAUCCCCCAGAAACAAACUCAUGAUGACUUCCAUGUUUUUUUUAGAUUAGAUACAUGGAGAAUUUUCCUUUCCCUUAGAAUUAAAAUCCUGCAUUCUAAUUUUCA